rnacentral:rRNA from 1 species
AGAGUUUGAUCAUGGCUCAGAUUGAACGCUGGCGGCAGGCCUAACACAUGCAAGUCGAACGGUAACAGGAAGCAGCUUGCUGCUUCGCUGACGAGUGGCGGACGGGUGAGUAAUGUCUGGGAAGCUGCCUGAUGGAGGGGGAUAACUACUGGAAACGGUAGCUAAUACCGCAUAAUGUCGCAAGACCAAAGAGGGGGACCUUCGGGCCUCUUGCCAUCGGAUGUGCCCAGAUGGGAUUAGCUUGUUGGUGGGGUAACGGCUCACCAAGGCGACGAUCCCUAGCUGGUCUGAGAGGAUGACCAGCCACACUGGAACUGAGACACGGUCCAGACUCCUACGGGAGGCAGCAGUGGGGAAUAUUGCACAAUGGGCGCAAGCCUGAUGCAGCCAUGCCGCGUGUAUGAAGAAGGCCUUCGGGUUGUAAAGUACUUUCAGCGGGGAGGAAGGGAGUAAAGUUAAUACCUUUGCUCAUUGACGUUACCCGCAGAAGAAGCACCGGCUAACUCCGUGCCAGCAGCCGCGGUAAUACGGAGGGUGCAAGCGUUAAUCGGAAUUACUGGGCGUAAAGCGCGCGCAGGCGGUUUGUUAAGUCAGAUGUGAAAUCCCCGGGCUCAACCUGGGAACUGCAUCUGAUACUGGCAAGCUUGAGUCUCGUAGAGGGGGGUAGAAUUCCAGGUGUAGCGGUGAAAUGCGUAGAGAUCUGGAGGAAUACCGGUGGCGAAGGCGGCCCCCUGGACGAAGACUGACGCUCAGGUGCGAAAGCGUGGGUAGCAAACAGGAUUAGAUACCCUGGUAGUCCACGCCGUAAACGAUGUCGACUUGGAGGUUGUGCCCUUGAGGCGUGGCUUCCGGAGCUAACGCGUUAAGUCGACCGCCUGGGGAGUACGGCCGCAAGGUUAAAACUCAAAUGAAUUGACGGGGGCCCGCACAAGCGGUGGAGCAUGUGGCUUAAUUCGAUGCAACGCGAAGAACCUUACCUGGUCUUGACAUCCACGGAAGUUUUCAGAGAUGAGAAUGUGCCUUCGGGAACCGUGAGACAGGUGCUGCAUGGCUGUCGUCAGCUCGUGUUGUGAAAUGUUGGGUUAAGUCCCGCAACGAGCGCAACCCUUAUCCUUUGUUGCCAGCGGUCCGGCCGGGAACUCAAAGGAGACUGCCAGUGAUAAACUGGAGGAAGGUGGGGAUGACGUCAAGUCAUCAUGGCCCUUACGACCAGGGCUACACACGUGCUACAAUGGCGCAUACAAAGAGAAGCGACCUCGCGAGAGCAAGCGGACCUCAUAAAGUGCGUCGUAGUCCGGAUUGGAGUCUGCAACUCGACUCCAUGAAGUCGGAAUCGCUAGUAAUCGUGGAUCAGAAUGCCACGGUGAAUACGUUCCCGGGCCUUGUACACACCGCCCGUCACACCAUGGGAGUGGGUUGCAAAAGAAGUAGGUAGCUUAACCUUCGGGAGGGCGCUUACCACUUUGUGAUUCAUGACUGGGGUGAAGUCGUAACAAGGUA